rnacentral:rRNA from 1 species
AGUGAACGCUGGCGGUAGGCCCAACACAUGCAAGUCGAACGGCAGCACAGUAAGAGCUUGCUCUUACGGGUGGCGAGUGGCGGACAGGUGAGGAAUACAUCGGAAUCUACUUUUUCGUGGGGGAUAACGUAGGGAAACUUACGCUAAUACCGCAUACGACCUACGGGUGAAAGCAGGGGAUCUUCGGACCUUGCGCGAUUGAAUGAGCCGAUGUCGGAUUAGCUAGUUGGCGGGGUAAAGGCCCACCAAGGCGACGAUCCGUAGCUGGUCUGAGAGGAUGAUCAGCCACACUGGAACUGAGACACGGUCCAGACUCCUACGGGAGGCAGCAGUGGGGAAUAUUGGACAAUGGGCGCAAGCCUGAUCCAGCCAUACCGCGUGGGUGAAGAAGGCCUUCGGGUUGUAAAGCCCUUUUGUUGGGAAAGAAAAGCAGCAGGUUAAUACCCCGCUGUUCUGACGGUACCCAAAGAAUAAGCACCGGCUAACUUCGUG